GAACCUGGAUUCUCUAGAAGAGCAGUCAAUGUCUUAAUUACUGAUUUAUCUCUCCAGCCCAUUUUUAAAUUUAAACUGAUUUCUUUGGUACUGGGGGCUGGAUCCAGGACCUUGCAGUUGCUAGGCAAAGCUGUACUACUAAGAUAAAUCCUCAAUUUUGUUUUUAUUUAUUUAUUUUUUGUGUGUAUAUGUGUUGCGCAUGUAUGUAUGUGUUUGCAUCUCUGUGUAUAUGUGCUCAUGUGCAUGGAGACUCAAAAUUGAAUAAUCUUCCUUGAUUGCUUUUCAUCUAUUUACUGUCACACGGUCUUACUCAGAGCCCUGGGUUUGAAGAAGCUUGCUCCAGGUAUCCUGUCUUUCUUAAAAGUACUGAGAGUACUUGUGACCUCCACACUUGCCAGUCUUUACGAGGGUUCUAGGGAACCUGGACUCUGGUCCUCAAGCUUGUAGGAUCUUUCAGUCCUAACUAAUCAAAGGUAAUCCAUUGGACUGAGGCUGUAGGUCAGUGGUAGAACCCUGGCCUAACAGUUAAGUAGACGGGAUUGCUAGGACUGUAGCUUCUCCAGUCCCAACACAGUGGCUUACUACUUGGAGAGGAAAGAAGUUAGAGCUUGGAAGACAUGGAAGGUCCUGAAUUGUACUUACCUUUUUAAGAUUCCUUUGUUAUUGUUGGGGCUUGAAUUCAGCUAUAUCACUGGCUUGUUUGUUGGAGACAGGGUUUCUCUGUGUGUCCCUGGCUAUCCUGGAACUCUUUCUGUAGACCAGUGUGGCUUAGAACUUGGAGAUCUCCCUACCUCGAAUGAAUGCUGGGAUUAAAGGCAUGCACUACCACUGCCUGGCUCUCUGGUUCUUUUGUUGUUGUUGUUCAUUAAUUUAUUUAUUCACUUAACGUCCUGGUUGCAGUCCCCCCUUCUCCUUCUAGUCUCUCCUUCACAGACCCCCUCCUCCCAAUACCCCCUCCUCUUCUUCUCAGAGAAGGGGAAGUUCCCAUGGGUACUAACCUGCCCUGGCACAUCAAGUCUCAGCAGGACUAAGCACAUCCUCUCUUUCUGAGGCCUGACAAAGCAGUCCAGCUAGGGGAAGGGGCUCCAAAGGCAGGCAACAGAGUAAGAGACAGCCCUCCUUUCAGUUGUUAGGGGACCCACAUGAAGACCAAGCUGCACAUCUGCUACAGGUGUAGGGGACCUAGGUCUAGUCCCUGAAUGCUCUUUGGUUGGUGCUUCAGUCUCUGUGAGCCCCUAUAGGGCCAGGUUAGUUGACUCUGUAGAUCUUCUGUGUUAUUUUGUGGAGUCCUUGACCUCUUUGGCUCCCUUGAUCCUAAUCCCCACUCUUCUACAACACUCCCUGAACUCUGCCCAGUGUUGGUCAAGAGACAGUUAUGCUAAGCUCCUGUCUGCAAACAUAGCAGAGUAUCAUUAAUAGUGUCGGGUUGUAUCACCCUCAAGGGAUGGGUAUCAAAUUAGGUCAGUCGUUGGUUGGCUAUUCCCUCAUUCUGGGCUCCAUAUAUAUUCCUGGAUAUUUUUUUUUGUAUAUUUUGGGUCAGAGAUUUUGUGGGUGAGUUGUUAUCCCCUGCCUCUACUGCAAGUCUCACCUGGCUACAGUCUCCAUAUCCCCAGCUGCUAGGAGUCUCAGGAGUCACCUUUUUUUUUUUAAGUUUCUCCCCUCCCCCCACAAUGUUUGCACAGUCCAAACCUAACUAAUCUAACAUAAGGGUAUUUAAAGUUAUAUACUCCAAAUACAUCAGUUUGGCAAAAUA